GUGGGUAGCUCUCUCAUUGGCGGCCACGUACGGGGUCAGCUGCGUGUCCACGCCAAAGGCUUGCCCUGUACGCGGACUACCGUUGGUUUUUACGCAAUUACAC